rnacentral:tRNA from 1 species
GCGCCAGUAGCUCAGCUGGCUAGAGCACACCCCUGAUAAGGGUGAGGUCGAUGGUUCGAGUCCAUUCUGGCGCA